AAAUUGAAGAGUUUGAUCAUGGCUCAGAUUGAACGCUGGCGGCAGGCCUAACACAUGCAAGUCGAACGGUAGCACAGAGAGCUUGCUCUCGGGUGACGAGUGGCGGACGGGUGAGUAAUGUCCUGGGAAACUGCCUGAUGGAGGGGGAUAACUACUGGAAACGGUGGCUAAUACCGCAUAACGUCGCAAGACCAAAGAGGGGGACCUUCGGGCCUCUUGCCAUCAGAUGUGCCCAGAUGGGAUUAGCUUGUUGGUGAGGUAACGGCUCACCAAGGCGACGAUCCCUAGCUGGUCUGAGAGGAUGACCAGCCACACUGGAACUGAGACACGGUCCAGACUCCUACGGGAGGCAGCAGUGGGGAAUAUUGCACAAUGGGCGCAAGCCUGAUGCAGCCAUGCCGCGUGUAUGAAGAAGGCCUUCGGGUUGUAAAGUACUUUCAGCGGGGAGGAAGGUGUUGUGGUUAAUAACCACAGCAAUUGACGUUACCCGCAGAAGAAGCACCGGCUAACUCCGUGCCAGCAGCCGCGGUAAUACGGAGGGUGCAAGCGUUAAUCGGAAUUACUGGGCGUAAAGCGCACGCAGGCGGUCUGUCAAGUCGGAUGUGAAAUCCCCGGGCUCAACCUGGGAACUGCAUUCGAAACUGGCAGGCUUGAGUCUUGUAGAGGGGGGUAGAAUUCCAGGUGUAGCGGUGAAAUGCGUAGAGAUCUGGAGGAAUACCGGUGGCGAAGGCGGCCCCCUGGACAAAGACUGACGCUCAGGUGCGAAAGCGUGGGGAGCAAACAGGAUUAGAUACCCUGGUAGUCCACGCCGUAAACGAUGUCUACUUGGAGGUUGUGCCCUUGAGGCGUGGCUUCCGGAGCUAACGCGUUAAGUAGACCGCCUGGGGAGUACGGCCGCAAGGUUAAAACUCAAAUGAAUUGACGGGGGCCCGCACAAGCGGUGGAGCAUGUGGUUUAAUUCGAUGCAACGCGAAGAACCUUACCUGGUCUUGACAUCCACAGAAGAAUCCAGAGAUGGAUUUGUGCCUUCGGGAACUGUGAGACAGGUGCUGCAUGGCUGUCGUCAGCUCGUGUUGUGAAAUGUUGGGUUAAGUCCCGCAACGAGCGCAACCCUUAUCCUUUGUUGCCAGCGGUCCGGCCGGGAACUCAAAGGAGACUGCCAGUGAUAAACUGGAGGAAGGUGGGGAUGACGUCAAGUCAUCAUGGCCCUUACGACCAGGGCUACACACGUGCUACAAUGGCGCAUACAAAGAGAAGCGACCUCGCGAGAGCAAGCGGACCUCAUAAAGUGCGUCGUAGUCCGGAUUGGAGUCUGCAACUCGACUCCAUGAAGUCGGAAUCGCUAGUAAUCGUGGAUCAGAAUGCCACGGUGAAUACGUUCCCGGGCCUUGUACACACCGCCCGUCACACCAUGGGAGUGGGUUGCAAAAGAAGUAGGUAGCUUAACCUUCGGGAGGGCGCUUACCACUUUGUGAUUCAUGACUGGGGUGAAGUCGUAACAAGGUAACCGUAGGGGAACCUGCGGUUGGAUCACCUCCUUA
rnacentral:rRNA from 1 species